UACGAAGGGGGCGAGCGUUGUUCGGAUUUACUGGGCGUAAAGGGCGCGUAGGCGGCGCGGGCAGUCAACGGUGAAAGCUUGGGGCUCAACCCCGAGUCGGCCGUCGAUACUCCCGGGCUGGGGCACUGUAGAGGCAGGUGGAAUUCCGGGUGUAGCGGUGGAAUGCGUAGAGAUCCGGAAGAACACCGGUGGCGAAGGCGGCCUGCUGGGCAGUAGCUGACGCUGAGGCGCGACAGCGUGGGGAGCAAACAGG
rnacentral:rRNA from 1 species